UGACGCGAGCCCGGCGGGAGCGGAGCUCUCCGGCCUCGGCCUCGUGCGGGGCGCCUGGCCGGGCCGGAGCCGCGGGAGGGGCGAACUGCGGCGGGCGUUACAGGGCCGCAUGGGACCGGCCUGCAGCCGGCCGGGCGCAGCCCAAGGGCCCGGCGAGGAGGCGGAGGCCCAGCCGUGCCGUGGAAGCUGGCCCUGGGCGCAGGUCCCUCACCGCUCCCUCGAAACGUGCCGCGCCCCGGCCGCCCGGUGCCGAGACCCGGCCGCCCCGUCCCUCCCGAGCCGCGCCCCGGCCGCCCCGUCCACCCCGAGCCGCGCCCCGGCCGCCCCGAGCGGCGCCCAGCCGUGUGAAACUUGUUGCUGAUCAACAAUUCUGUGUGGGGGUGUCUUCGACAAGCACAUGCACGUGUCAUGGACACUGAAAGACCUGGGGAGCAGGUACGCGUAGCUGCUCACAGAGGGACCUGCAUACAACAGCUCUGAAGAGCCACCAUCCCAUGGGAAGAAGGCUGGGGGACUCAUGAGCAGUACUUCCGGAUAGAACCUCCCUUGGAAUAUUCAUUCCUAAAUGGAUGGAAUCUAAGACUGAUUUGGGUAUUGAAACUGUAUUUUCUGUACAGGAGUGGCUCUGGCUCCACUCUGAGUAGAAAAUGAUGCCAUUCCCUUAUUCACUGGGGGUGCAAGGGAAAAGCUCAAUGCAAUGCACCAUCAUUCCCAGCAAAGUUAGGAGAUCCCUGAAUUCUCCAUGAUCCUUUUUACCAGGGUGACAAAACGUCAGCCCAAGUACAGCACACGGCCGGGACGCAGCGAUAAGAGACGGGGAAGCUGUGUGUGGGAUCCUGGCCCCAGGAGGGGAGUGCCAGGAACCAGGUCAGAUUGUGGCUCCAGGGAGGGAGGGAUUAGAGCUUUAGGUUAGGUCUGUAGUGGCAUGCAUAUACAAGUACUGAACUGUGUCUGUGCUUGUGCAUAUUCCCCUUGCCCACACAGUGUCUCUACAUUAUACAGUGCAGGAUGUGGGUGUAACACCGUAUACUUAUGUCCACACUGGCGCUGUUAAAUGACAGAGCCACCAUUUCAGGGGUAGUCUCCCUGGGUUCUGUGCAGACUGGGGGAGGCUAGAAACCACUGUGCUGUGUGUAGGCACGGAUAUUUGCAGAUGGCAGUUCCUGAUUGCAUUGCCCCACACUGCUUCACUCAAUUCUCCUGGCUCAGACCUUAACCCCAGUACCUUCCCUUCCAGCACUCACUAUGCAGACACUGCAGGUGCUGCUAUUUGCUGGGCCAAUUCAGCAGUGAGCUGCAGAGCUCUGAAGUGGUGGGGUGCAGGAAGAAGCCCAUUGUACAAACAGCACACUCAAGUACAUGGAUUUGACCUAAUUUUUCUCAGAAGGAAAGUGGCUAAGUAGCAAAAGGUAGUUCUGUUAGAAGAGAUAAUAGGAUUCUAUUUCGGACUCUGUCGGAAGUUUUCCACGUCCCAGGCCUGUGCGCUAUACUAGGCUACGCUGCCUCUCUGAUGGGUAGGGAUAAGAGGCCUUGGCCAUUGAUAUGGUUUGUCAAGAGCAUGAAAAUAUCAGUUAGUGGAAGAGGGAACUUUAACUCAGUCUCCUGGCUUGUUGCCCUGAGCACCCUACUUGACUCCAGGGAAUUUUAUUGGGGAAGAUUGCUCUUGCUGUCUCUGGAGACUGUGCACAGCGCUGGCCUUCUGUUUCGGGAUCCCCAGAAUUGAGUAACUUUGUAAUAAUUAGGUUUUGGAGCUUGUUCUUGGUGCCAGACACUAGAUCUCAGAGAGGGGUCCUGGCAAUCAUAGCUCCAGAGAUAUUGACCUUCCUCUGAGACUUAUAGGGAGGCAGCUUGGAGUAGUGGGAAAAGUGCAAAGCCAAAUACAGAGAGAGAGUCUGGGGUAGCGCCUUAAACCCUUGUGGUGCAUUUCAGAUUCACUUGUGUGUGUGUUACAGUAAUAACAGUGGUAAUAAGCUGAAGUUACAUUUAGUAACAUCAGGUUUCAGAGUAACAGCUGUGUUAGUCUGUAUUCGCAAAAAGAAAAGGUUCUUGUGGCACCUUAAGAGACUAACCAAUUUUAUGCUCAAAUAAAUUGGUUAGUCUCUAAGGUGCCACAAGUACUCCUUUUCUAUUUAGUAACAUCAUUAGCCAUGACCAGGUCUGACCAUGACUUCGGCCACAUCCUCACUUGUGUGCACACACUUCUGAAACCACUUCAUGUGGUUUUUUGGUGUAUCUGGCUCAUUUAGUCAGUGGCAGCCAGCCAUGUGUUCAAGCCCCAAGUAGGUGCACCAGCCUGGGAUGGGAUCCCCAUCAGGGGAUCUCACCAGUGUGACUCAGGAGCCCCACCCUGUGAGCCUCCUCCAGCUGGCCAACAAAAUAGUACACACCAUGUACAGGGCUGGGCUGCAGGCGACACUGAUCUGCACAGGGGCACCAGUGGAGAAGUCCUGAGAGGUGGUGACACACAACACACACAGUCCUCCUGGUUUUUAAAAUGUAAUUGCAAAAUGUGUAGAUUUAAAGCAAUGUCAUAAUUACAUUUAAACACUGGGAGGAUUAUGCAAAAUCAGGGAGGGCUGGUAUCUCUGCUGUCUGGUAGAGCUUGCCCCCAUUAAAAAAAAAAAUCCACCUUUUUUGUGCAGAGAUGAGAGUUAAAAAUUGUGGAAUUCUGAAAACCUAUCAUUCGGGGAAGGCAACCAGUGUUUCAGGAACCCUUUGAUCAAAUGUCCGCCAGGGUGCAGCAUAUUCUGCCCUGGGCCCAGAAUUGGCAUGCCAGUUUCCAAGUCCAUCUAAUGAUGGACUUGGAUUUUAGAGAGGUCACAAAUUUCAGCUUUAAACAGAAACUAUGUUGCAACUAUAACUAAUGAUUUUUCCAUCUUUAGUUUUAUAAUUGCUAGAAAUACACCGUGGACUUGCAACUGAUCAACAUUUUUGAAGCACUGCUCAAUAAUAUUUAUCUAAAACACCUCAUUUGUUUGUUAUUACUUAUAUUUAAUACCACAGGGUAUCGUGCUGUUUUUCCAAAAUCUGAAUAAAGUUCUAUUUCUCUCA